rnacentral:rRNA from 1 species
CAGAGAUUUCCGAAUGGGGAAACCCAGCAUGAGUUAUGUCAUGUUAUCGAUAUGUGAAUACAUAGCAUAUCAGAAGGCACACCCGGAGAACUGAAACAUCUUAGUACCCGGAGGAAGAGAAAGAAAAUUCGAUUCCCUUAGUAGCGGCGAGCGAAACGGGAAGAGCCCAAACCAACAAGCUUGCUUGUUGGGGUUGUAGGACACUCUAUACGGAGUUACAAAGGACGACAUUAGACGAAUCAUCUGGAAAGAUGAAUCAAAGAAGGUAAUAAUCCUGUAGUCGAAAAUGUUGUCUCUCUUGAGUGGAUCCUGAGUACGACGGAGCACGUGAAAUUCCGUCGGAAUCUGGGAGGACCAUCUCCUAAGGCUAAAUACUCUCUAGUGACCGAUAGUGAACCAGUACCGUGAGGGAAAGGUGAAAAGCACCCCGGAAGGGGAGUGAAAUAGAACCUGAAACCGUGUGCUUACAAGUAGUCAGAGCCCGUUAAUGGGUGAUGGCGUGCCUUUUGUAGAAUGAACCGGCGAGUUACGAUUUGAUGCAAGGUUAAGCAGUAAAUGUGGAGCCGUAGCGAAAGCGAGUCUGAAUAGGGCGUUUAGUAUUUGGUCGUAGACCCGAAACCAGGUGAUCUACCCUUGGUCAGGUUGAAGUUCAGGUAACACUGAAUGGAGGACCGAACCGACUUACGUUGAAAAGUGAGCGGAUGAACUGAGGGUAGCGGAGAAAUUCCAAUCGAACCUGGAGAUAGCUGGUUCUCUCCGAAAUAGCUUUAGGGCUAGCCUCAAGUGAUGAUUAUUGGAGGUAGAGCACUGUUUGGACGAGGGGCCCCUCUCGGGUUACCGAAUUCAGACAAACUCCGAAUGCCAAUUAAUUUAACUUGGGAGUCAGAACAUGGGUGAUAAGGUCCGUGUUCGAAAGGGAAACAGCCCAGACCACCAGCUAAGGUCCCAAAAUAUAUGUUAAGUGGAAAAGGAUGUGGCGUUGCCCAGACAACUAGGAUGUUGGCUUAGAAGCAGCCAUCAUUUAAAGAGUGCGUAAUAGCUCACUAGUCGAGUGACACUGCGCCGAAAAUGUACCGGGGCUAAACAUAUUACCGAAGCUGUGGAUUGUCCUUUGGACAAUGGUAGGAGAGCGUUCUAAGGGCGUUGAAGCAUGAUCGUAAGGACAUGUGGAGCGCUUAGAAGUGAGAAUGCCGGUGUGAGUAGCGAAAGACGGGUGAGAAUCCCGUCCACCGAUUGACUAAGGUUUCCAGAGGAAGGCUCGUCCGCUCUGGGUUAGUCGGGUCCUAAGCUGAGGCCGACAGGCGUAGGCGAUGGAUAACAGGUUGAUAUUCCUGUACCACCUAUA